UACAGAGGGUGCAAGCGUUAAUCGGAGUUACUGGGCGUAAAGGGCGCGUAGGCGGUUUGAUAAGUGAGAUGUGAAAGCCCUGGGCUUAACCUAGGAAUUGCAUCUUAAACUGUGAAGCUAGAGUACUGUAGAGGGUAGUGGAAUUUCCGGUGUAGCGGUGAAAUGCGUAGAGAUCGGAAGGAACACCAGUGGCGAAGGCGGCUACCUGGACAGAUACUGACGCUGAGGCGCGAGAGCGUGGGGAGCAAACAGG
rnacentral:rRNA from 1 species